rnacentral:rRNA from 1 species
UACGGGGUGCGAGCGUUGUCCGGAAUCACUGGGCGUAAAGGGCGCGUAGGUGGUCUGAUAAGGGUGUGGUGAAAGCCCGGGGCUCAACCCCGGGUCGGCCGUGCCGACUGUUAGACUAGAGUGCUGUAGGGGCAGGCGGAAUUCCGGGUGUAGCGGUGGAAUGCGUAGAGAUCCGGAGGAAGACCGGUGGCGAAGGCGGCCUGCUGGGCAGUUACUGACACUGAGGCGCGACAGCGUGGGGAGCAAACAGG